GUGAGGAAUAUUGCGCAAUGGAGGCAACUCUGACGCAGCCAUGCCGCGUGCAGGAAGAAGGCGCUACGCGUUGUAAACUGCUUUUAACCGGGAAGAAACCCCAGGACGUGUCCUGGGUUGACGGUACCGGAGGAAUAAGCACCGGCUAACUUCGUGCCAGCAGCCGCGGUAAUACGAAGGGUGCAAGCGUUAUCCGGAUUCAUUGGGUUUAAAGGGUGCGUAGGCGGAGCGUUAAGUCAGUGGUGAAAUCCUGCAGCUUAACUGUAGACUUGCCAUUGAUACUGGCGCUCUUGAGUGCGCUUGAAGUGGGCGGAAUGUGUCGUGUAGCGGUGAAAUGCUUAGAUAUGGCACAGAACACCAAUUGCGAAGGCAGCUCACUAAGGCGAUACUGACGCUGAGGCACGAAAGCGUGGGGAUCGAACAGGAUUAGAAACCCCGGUAGUCC
rnacentral:rRNA from 1 species